rnacentral:rRNA from 1 species
GAUUAACGCUAGCGGCAGGCCUAAUACAUGCAAGUCGAGGGGUAACAGGGUAGACAAUACCGCUGACGACCGGCGCACGGGUGAGUAACACGUAUGCAACCUACCUAUAACUGGGGGAAUAGCCUUCCGAAAGGAAGAUUAACACCGCAUAAUAUCACGAGACGGCAUCGUUUUGUGAUCAAACCUCCGGGGGUUAUANAUGGGCAUGCGUAACAUUAGCUAGUUGGUGAGGUAACGGCC